rnacentral:lncRNA from 1 species
UCGGCGGCGAGGAAGGACGGAGGAGCGCCGGAGCCGCUUUGCUGCCCUCCGCGUGGUCCCGUGCCUCCCCGACACCAUGGCCCUGGCUGAGGUAGUAGUUUGUGCUGUUGGUCGGGUUGUGACAUUGCCCGCUGUGGAGAUAACUGCGCAAGCUACUGCCUUGCUAGUGCUGGUGAUGCUCAGCGCCGCGGAGGACAAUGGCUGGGAAUCCCCUUUGUUUUCCGGGGCGCUGCCUGGGGACAGCCCGCGAAGCCUCGGCGCCCGGCCGGCGCGGCCACCACGGAAACCGUUAGUUUCACAUUUUCCUAGAAGGAAUUGAGGGGAGUGGGGUGGACCGCGAUGCAUUUUAAAGGUUGGGAAAGAGCUAAGCCAUUGGAUUCCUUUUCUUGAAGGAAGGAGUGGAAUUGUGUAAGAUAAUUGAUACAGAUAACUUUUUCACCCUAAAAAAUUCUAACACUUCUUUCAGCAGUUAAAUGCCAAAUUUAGUGUGUACCUGUUUUACUUCAUUCUUUAGCUGUAGGUUGGAGUGGUGUGAGCGAUCUGCAGAACUGGCAUUAGAGGGGCAGAAGAAGUAGACCUGAUAAUUAAAGUUUAUGCCUUAACAUUUUAGAUCUGGUUUCUGAUAUGCUCUCUUAGUAAAUCUGAGUGUGUCUUUAAAAACGUAAACCCAAAGCAAUUUAAAGUUUCUCUUUAAACUUUGCAACUCGCGAAUGAGAAGAUUGAAAUUAUUUGUAGGUAAUUGCACUAUUCCGAUUUUUUAAUGUAUGAGGCAAACAAAUAAAUUCUAUGUACAGUGUGCUGUGAAUGGUUUUGUUUUUUGUUUUUUCUUUUUAGUUUAACCUUGGGGCUCAGAUUCUGCUGGUGUGGUGGGUUGGUUUUUUGGUUUUUAUGGCCUUUGAUUCUAAUGUUAUGUGGUACUUACAUCUUUGAGGUUUUGUAUGGGAGAAGAGGACUAGGAAUUGAAAGUGGUUUCUAGAUUUGAGUUUAAAAUCUACUAACACUCAUUUUGAUUCCUGAGUGGCCACUACUCCUAAUAGGAAAAUACCUUUGCAUAGAGAAAAAAGGUAGUUUGGAUAACUAAUGAAAAUACUCAGUGCUCUAAUACCCUGAAGUCUGCGUGGAAAACAAGAUACUUGUAUUUUUAUUUUAUUUUCACUGAGGGAAGUAAGUGGUCAGUUUUAGUACUUUUCGUUGAAAACUGAUCUGUAUUUGUACAGAAUAAGUAGUUUUGAAUAUAAUGUAAUCGCAGUUUUCUAUGGUUUUCUGAUGCUCAGUUGAAAAACAAAUAAGGCAGUUCUUUAAACCAACCAAACCCUUCAGCAGGAGUUUGAUGCUUUUAUCAUUCAAAAGUGAUCUAAUAUAUGUGCCUUGAUUGGGUUUGGUUUAGCCUUGAGAAUAACCUUACUUAAUCUGAUCUCAUCAGGAUGGAGCCGCCUCAUUGUGGGAAGGGCGGUGAAGAACCUUAUCUUGAAUCUUAAGAUGCAGAAAAUGCUUGAAUGUUGGCUCUUGAAGUUUGCUUUUCUUGAUAGCAACGCAGAGUAAAUUCAGGGCUUUGUUAAGUGCUUGUUUUCUUAAAUAAUGAAAACCUCUGCGGUGCUGUGUCAAAUCUUGGUUUAUGGAGAAACUAAUCAUAACAUGCUAAUUUCAUUAUGAUUUUAUUUUCCAAAACACUUCAUUCAACCAACCGAGGUAAUCUUCCAACCCACUACACUCUAACAUUUUUAUGGAGAAUCAACGGUUGUUAAUCUGCACCCCAAAGUAUAACAAAUUCUGCUGGUAAUUUAAACUUUAAGCGGAUAAGCACACCAGAAAUGCUCAAUGUCCUAUACAGAUAAACUAUUCAUACUUUAUAUCUUGUGUUUUUAAAGUAAAUUUUAUCCACAACUACAUAUUGCCCAAAUAGUAGUAACAUUUUUGAGUUAUUGGAUGUAAAGGUACUUUGAGAGGUUAACUGUUUCCUAAGUUACAAGAGAAAAUACUGCCACCAGCUGACUUGUUUUAAUCCCAUAGCUAUAUUUCUGCUCUAAUCUCCAGUUUUAAAAAUGAUCUGCUAAUUACAUUUCUCUACACACCAACUGAAAAUUACCAACUGAACAUUUUCCUUGUUGACAGUUUCCCACAAGAUGAAUUUGAUUUAUCAAAAAUACAGCUUUCUGAACUUAGUAUUAUUGACAUUUACUUGGUGCAGUUAACUUUUUUGUUAAAGGUCUGUUGUCAAGCAUUUAAGUAAUUUGUAGUUGUAAAAAGCCACUGGUGGAAAGUAAUAAGGCAGUAUUUUGAGUGCCCUUCUCAAUAAGUACAUACUAAACCAAAGGAAAGCUGGGUUAUGGUAAUAACAUUUUAAUAAAUGUCAUCCUCAAUUGGAAAUGGAGACUGUGUUAUGGUAUAUAGGACACACCAUAUGGAGAAGAUUCUUGGAGAACACAGUUUUGCUUCAUACUUUAAAAUUCCUGAUUGCUAAUCUUACAUAGAAAAGCUUUGUUUACAAGCUAUUUUAAAAUAACCUUUUGGCAGGUAGGCAAGACUGACUGGCAAGGGUGCACUCAAGACAUUGUGUCUUGUGGAGUGGUCCCCAAAGAAUUCCUGACAGAGGCACCUGACAGCACAAAUUAGCUCUUCAGUGUAUAAGCACAAAGCACCAAAAAGGCUGAGAUUUCUUCCUAGCUACAUGCUCUCUCCCGCUAUUGUUUAUUACACUCCACCCGCUCCAUGGUGAAGCUGACAAAGGAGAUACUAUUAAUUUCCUUUCCCACUGAAUAAUCCCCUCUGUAAUUUCUACAACAAAAGGUAAAUAGGACAAUCAUCUUCGAAAAUGAAUUAGGCCAGAUUGGUAGUACCCAAAAGGAGAAUUAAUGACCAUUGUCAUAAACUCUGAAAAGCUGUUGGCGCUACUGAUAAUCUAGAUAAUUAAGCAAAAAUUUGAAAAUUAUUUCUAAGAUUGUCUAAUGAAGUUCACUAAGUGUUUUUGUUAGGUUAUCACUAUUGGGCACCAUGGGGAAAGCAAAAUAAUUGUAUAGCUAGGUCAUUGCCCCAAAGGAAAACAGGAAAGAUGUCACAUGAAGUGUUUAAGAAUCAAAAUGUAAUUAGCUGAGUGUGGUGGUGCCUGCCUGUAGUCCCCGCUGAGGUGGGAGGAUCUCAUGAGCCCAGGACUUUGAGGCUGCAGUGAGCCAUGAUUGCACCACUGCAGCCUGGGCAACAGAGUGAGACUGUCAAAAAAAAAAAAAAAUCAAUGUGAGCUCAGUGCAGUGAUGUGCACCUAUAAUCCCAGGUACUCUGGAGGCUGAGGCAGGAGAGUCACUGGAGCCCAGUAGUUUGAGACCUGCCUGGACAAAAUAGUUGAGAUUCUGUCUCAAGAAAUUAAAUAAAUAAUCAAAAUGUGGGCAGGUGAGAAAAACAUUAGUGACCUACUUCACUUUUGAGACCUGGCAGAAAAGUGAUUGAAUGAGCUAAGGGGGAAGGGAAGUAUGGAACACUUCAAAUAGUAUAGUAAUUUAGGGAGUUCUUUUGGUUAGGUUUGUUGCCUGAGAUCUUGGAGAUGACAAUCGCAGUGAUAAUGAUACUCUAGGUGAUUUACAGUUUAGUUUCAUAUUAUCUGCUACAAAUACGCUGGGAGUGUCAUCAGAAUUAAAAGAAAUAUUAGCAGUUCUACAUGGAAUUUAUGUGUUUUCUUAUCUCAAGUUGAAAAUUUUUUUUUUGGUUAAAUUUGUUUUACAUUUACCUUUCUUUAAAAGUGCUGUUUUGUUCAGAUGUAAUGGAAUUGUGCCUACACAGGAUUUUUGGCCACUAAAUUUGUGAAUAGGGUCCUUUAAAGGCAUACUAUUGACACCCGAUAGUGUAACUUUAGUCUUUUAGUUAUAUCAAAUAUGAACAAACCUAAGACACAAUCUUGUGUUUUUAAGGAUAAGUUCCUAGUUCUUUCCUCUUAUUCAACAUCAAACAACACUUACAGAAAAUAUUAUUUUCUUCGAAUCAGGUUUACAAAUUCCGUUAGUUCCAUUAUAAUAUAAUUGAGAGUAUUUUAUCAUGGAAGUCAGGAGUUCGCAGAAAGCCAAGCUGUGUGAUAUGUCACAGAAAAUUCAAGUAAAUUAAGGACUAAAAACUGUCCACAGACAUUGACAGUUUAGAUCAUAUAUGUAGUUGUAAUGUGUUUUCUGUUAUACCUGAAAAAUCCCUUAACUGCUCUUAGGUUGAGUAAUAAACAAUUAACGGGUGUUUUAUCUCACUUUGAACAUAACUACCAAAAAGGUAUUAAGAUUCAGAGAUUGCUGUUUUAAUAUUCUGCACAUAGUGUAUUUUAAAGCCCUUGUUAAACAGAAGUAUUAUGUAGAUACAGGCAUGGGCUAGUUUUAGUCAUAAUAGUAACACUGACUUAAUGUUACCGUAAUAGAUGGCCGAAAGAGUUGACUAAACUCUAAAAACAGAUACAUAAGCAAAUUAAAGUAUAUUUUUCUGUUUUAAAAACAAAUUUACAUACUUUUUAAGAGUUCGGACGAAAAACCUAAGAAUAAGAAUCCUAUCUGCCAUUCAUUUCUUUUUGUAGUGAAUGAAGCUUAUACAGAAUAAAUAAGUUCCAGAUAAAUUCAACAGGUGAAUCGGAUACCUGCUCUAUGUCAGGUGCUGGGAAUAUACAGAAGAUAAAACAAAAACAAACACAAAAAAACCAACUCCACAUUAUGGAAUUCACAUUGUAAAAGGAAUACAUUUCCCUAUAAUAAUAAUUACAGACAUGUAGUGAGGACAAUCCAUGGGCCACCUGAGUUGUUUUCAAACCUGAGUUCCACUCAUACACCUGUUCUAGAGCCCUUGCUCCAAAACCACUAUUGAUAUUCCAGUUGUAUGUUUUAAAAAAGCCAUUUCCCAUUGAUUUUUGUUAUAAUUGUACCUAUUUUUUUUAAAAAAAGAUGAUAAUUUAGUUUCACCAGGGCUGUUUUCUUUCUUUCUUUUUUUUUUUUUGAGACGGAAUCUUGCUCUUGUUGCCCAGGCUGGAGUACAAUGGCACGAUCUCGGCUCACUGCAACCUCCACCUCCCAGGUUCAAGCAAUUCUCCUGCCUCAGCCUCCUAAGUAGCUGGGAUUACAGGCGCCCGCCACCACGCCCAGCUAAUGUUUGUAUUUUUAGUAGAGAUGAGGUUUCACCGUGUUGGCCAGGCUGGUCUCGAACUGCUGACCUCAUGAUCCGCCCACCUUGGCCUCCCAAAGUGCUGGUAUUACAGGCAAGAGCCACCGCGCCUGGUCAGCCAGGGCUGUUUUCUAUCUCCUAAACAGGAUAACACUGCAGGAGGUACUUCACCUUUAAGAGCUUACAAUGUUGUAGCAAGUGCCCAACUACCUUGUGGAGGAAUCUAGACCCCAUAGCCAGACAUCACAUUUUAUGAUGUACACUCUAAACAUGGUAAAAGUUCAAAGAAGCAGGAGUGCACUGUGAGUAGGUAGAGAAUGCAUCUCUCUGGAGCAGAAACGUCAGAUUAUUUUAACAGUAUAAGCUAUGGAGAGCGAUUAUGAGCCUUGUGGUGCCUGAGAACAGGAAAGAAAGAAGUAUCCUACCUUCCUUAUAUAAUUUAUACCUCGGGGUAACUAAAUGGUUGUGAGGGAGAUUUCCUCAUUACAGAAUAAUUCCAGUUUCACAGUGCAGAACGUCUGAUAGAAUGUUAACAUUUACAACAGCUCAUGAAAUAAAGCUAGACCUCUUCAAUGGCUAACUUAAUGGUUGAAACCAUUAAGUAAAAUGCUGAUGGAGAAGUAUGUGAUUAAUGAAUCAGUAGUAGAGAAGUAUUUAAUUCAUGGAUCAGGGCAACCGCACUUCAACUCACUGAUCAAUUUUAAUAUUACAAAAACAGAUAACUAGAUAUUCUAGUUCAAAUAAUUGAACUAGAUAGUGGUUUACUAAGACUCUAGACUCUCAUCAAGUUUCUAGAUCUGAUGAGUAGUUUAUUAGAAAUUUAAGAUAUAGGGGAACAUUGUUAAAUCACCACAGGAGCACAAGUAGCAAAAAUCCACACUGAAAUUCUAUAAGACAAAUGAUCUAAGGAAAAAAAAUUUUUAAGGAAAGAAGGGCAGGAAAACCUGUAGAGUAAAAUGAAUUUAAAGAUAUUUAUCGGUUUAAUUGCAAUGUAUAGACCUUGUUUGGAUCCUAAUUUGAUCAAAGCUAACCACAAACACAUUUAUGAGACAAUUGGAGAAAUUUUAAAACUGACUGAAUAUUAGAAGUUAAAGAAUUGUUUUUGAAAAUGGUAUUGUGGUUAUAGUUUUUAAAAAUCUUUUGGUAUAUGCAUACUAAAUAAUUUACUAAUGAAUGAUAUGAUCGGACUUUGCUUCAUACUUUAAUCCAUGGGGGAUGGGAAGCAUAUAUGGGAGUACACAGGAAAGAAGCUUGUCUUAGUGUUGGUAUUGAUGAUGGGUGAUGGGUAGAUGGGUUUUUUUAUUCUGUUCUACUUUUGUGUAUAUUUAGAAUGUUCCAUAAUAAAAACUCAAAAACACGUAAAACAAGACAAAGAAAGAUUCCUGUGGUUUGGAGACAACCAAAGCAAAGUGAGAACACAUACAAAACCAUGUGAAGGUCAGUAAGGUGCAGCUAAGUGUUCUUAGGGUAUCCUCCCAGGCCACUUUGAAAUACUACCUUGAAGUCUAUCAGAGGAUCAGUCCAUUUUCCUUAUACUCCAGAUCAAAUAUAUUGACUAAUAUAGUGCAAGUUCACACAUACCCACAACAAGGAUACCAUUGUUUAAAUAUAUCUAUUAUAAUUAAAACUAGUAAUUAGAAUUAAUAAGAGAUGUGUUGAGAACUUUUACUAAGUACUUUGUAUGUAUAAAGUACUUGCUUUAAUGUUAGCCUAUUAAACUUAAUAACUUUCCAUUUUAAAUAUUAUUUUUCUAGUUCCAUAGUCUUUUUCUAGAAGUAUGCCUUAUUUCACAUUCUUAAACAAGUACUCUAAGCAAAAUCAGCUCACUAAAAAAAUUUGUUUGGCUUUAACUGCUUUCAAUAAGCUUAGUUCUGUUUUUCCUCUUUUAUUUUGUUAUUCCUCCUGUCUAACUGAAACUUUGUACCCUUUAGCCAACAUCUCCCCAGUACCUUACCCCCUCUGUCUAUAAGCCCCUGGUAACACUAUUCUCUCCUUUCUGCUUCUCUGAGUUUGACUUUUUUAUAUUCCACAUAUAAAUGAGAUCAUGUAGUAUUUGUCUUUCUAUGCCUGGCUUAUUUAGUGUAAUGUCCUCCAAGUUUAAACAUGUCGUUGCAAAUGAUAGAAUGUUUGUCCUUUUAAAUGGAACUCUAAUAAUUGUUCUAGCAAUUUAUUCGAUUUUUUGUUUCCAGUUAGAUUCCUUUUUUCUUAACCUUCUUUGUGUGUGUGUGUGUGUGUGUGUGUGUGUGUGUGUGUGUUUAGACAGGGUCUCACUGUCAUCCAGGCUGGAGUGCAGUGGCGUGGUCACAGCUCACUGCAACCUUCAACUCCCAGGCUCAAGCGAUCUUUCCACCUCAGCCUCCUGAGUAGCUAAGACUACAGGCACACGCCACCACCCCUGGCUAAUUUUUGUAUUUUUUGUAGAGACAGGGUUUUGCCAUGUUGCCCAGGCUGGUCUCAAAACUACAGGGCUCAAUUGAUCGCCCACCUCCGUCUCCCAAAGUGCUGGGAUUAUAGGUGUGAGCCACCGCGCCCAGCCCCCAUCAAUAUAUGUUAACACUUAGCAGUUAGUUCAUUGUGCAUCUACAUAUUACCAGUGUUAUUAAUCUAAUUUAAAUAUUUAACUGAGUGCUGUUACUGCUUUGAAUAUAUUAGCACACUACAAAGGUAAAAAAAUAUAACCAACCUGUGGAUCAAAAGAAACAAUGAUUUUGCAUUUUACUAAGCACAGAAAUUAUCAUGUUUUUGAAUGUGUACCACAAAUGCCAGGCAUACACACACAUAUAUAAAUAAGGUUGAAGGAGGCCGGGCGCGGUGGCUCACGCCUGUAAUCCCAGCACUUUGAGAGGCCGAGGCAGGUGGAUUACUUGAGGUCAGGAAUUCGAGAGCAGCCUGGCCAACAUGGUGAAACCUGGUCUCUACUAAAAAUACAAAAAAUUAGCCGGGCAUGAUGGUGCAUGCCUGUAGUCCCAGCUACUGGGGAGGCUGAGGCAGGAGAAUCGCUUAAACCCCAGAGGUGGAGGUUGCAGUGAGCUGAGAUCGUGCCACUGCACUUCAGCCUGGGUGACAGAGUGAGACUCUAUCUAAAAUAUAUAUAUAUAUAAGGUUGAAGGAAUAAACACAUUGAAGCAUUAUUACAAAUAUAAGAUACUUUUUUUUCUUUUCUUGUUUAAAAAUAAAUAGAGGCAGGGUCUCACUUUGUUGCCCACGCUGGUCUUGAGCUCCUGGGCUCAAGUGAUCCUCCUGCCUCAGCCUCCUAAAGUGCUAGGAUUACAGGCGUUAGCCACCACACUUGGCCAAGAGAGUUCUUUCAAAUUUACCAAUAUUAUCACUAUUAAAUAGCUUUUAUUUUGAAGUAUAUAUCCUAGUGACUUUUUAACUUCAUAUAUCUUAUCCUGUAUAUACGUAGUGAAUCACUAUCUGGACUCAUUAGUUAGACGUUGAACUUAGCCGUGACCUUAUCUACUACAUACAUGGGCAUUUUCUGUUGUUAUUAACCCUGGGACUUAAGUUGCCUUAGAAAUAUUAAUGAUAAUUGCUAUAUGUAUAGAUGUUACCACUAAUAUCUUUAGUAUUCUCUGCUGACUAUCCAUGAACCCUGUGGAGUUUAUUAUGCUGGAAGUCACAGUGUAUUCCUUAAACCCUUCUGAUUCUGCCUUAUGGCCUCCUCCCUUGUUGAGUAUCUUCUUAAAAGGAAUCAGAAACCACUCUUCCCACAUUCUCCAAUAGUCAAGUCACACCAUGAACACGGUUCCAAGAAGCGGAAAGGUCCUCUACCACUUCAAGGAAAUUAGGAAGAAAAAAAAAGAGAGAAAAACAACGUGUUGUUCCAGAAGGUAGUAUGCAAGUUCUCAAAUGACCUCUAGGCAUUUUGGUUCAAGGUCCAUCUUUUUCCUUUAUCAUGUCACUCUUCUUUUUUCCUAUUAAAGAAUAAUUUUUAUAUCUUUUUAUGUGACUGGUAAAAAUAAUAUUCCCCUUCUCCAAAAGUCAUGGUCAGUUAGCUAUAUAAAGGUAGUUGGUAAUGAAACUUCAUGUUCUUGUGGUUUUUAAAAUACAGAGUCUCACUCUGUUGCCAAGGCUGGAGUGCAGUAGCAUGAUCAUGGCUCACUGCAGCCUCGACUUCCUGGGCUCAAGUGAUCCUCCUGCCUCAGAGCCUUGAAUAACUGGGACUACAGGUGCACAUCACCACAUCCAACUAAUUUUUAAAAUUUUUUGUGGAGACAGAGUCUCACUCUGUUGCCCGGGCUGGUCUUGAACUCCUGAGCUCAAGUGAUUCUCCCAUCUCAGCCUCCCAAAGUGCUGGGAUUACAGAUGUGAGCCACCAUGCCCAGCCUUGUUUUUUUUGUUUUUUGUUUUUUGUUUUUAAUGUAAGAAAAGGUAAGAAAAAUAUGGUGGUGGUCUUACAGGUACAUAUGUGGUUUAUGCACUGUGAAGCUGUUGAAAGGAGUGGAUGAUGAUGAAAUGCAUGCAGUUGAGCUAGGCUCAGUGGAAAGUCAUGUUGGGGAACAGAUGGAGUUUUGAAGUGCUAAGAGAAUGAUUUAAUGAAACUGGGGUCAUAAAAUUGCUAGAAAGAAUGUAGGCUGAUUUCUUCCAGAAUUUAAAGGCUCUGGGAAUAGGAAGCCAGAAGAGUAAGAACAGAAACAGAUCAGCUUGAACACCAGAGUUGCGCCUUUGGAUGAACUCUGGGGAAAGGGUUCAAGAGAUUCUCCUGCCUCAGCCUCCCAAGUAAUUGGAAUUACAGGCCCAUGCCACCCCACCCGGCCAAUUUUUUUUGUAUUUUUAGUAGAGAUGGGGUUUUGCCAUGUUGGCCAGGCUGGUCUCAAACUCCUGACCUCAAGUGAUCCGCCAGCCUCGGCCUCCCAAAGUGCUGGGAUUACAGGCACGAGCCACCAUGCCGGACCUAUUAGUGUAUUUACUGGAUAUCAAGAUGACUAAGAAAUAGCACUUGCCUUGAAGGAGCUUUUCUAUUUGAGGAAAAAGACAUGUAUAUAAAUAACUGCAAACAGAAUGAAACAAGUGUUAUGUAGAUCUACAUACAGUGACAUGCCAUGGGAAUGCUGAACACUGAGCAACAGUUUCAACUAGCGAAUUGGCACAGGAAACAUGAAAAAUAAGCGUAUUUUCAAUAUGACAAGAAUGGUCAUUUCUGGAUAUAAGAACAAGAGAAAAGUCAUGGGUAUAUGGAAAGGCAUGGACUCUUCAAGGAAGAGCAAGUAGUCUAAUGUAGAUGCUGUAUAGGAAUCUGGGGACAAAGGGACAGAUAAGUGGUGUAGACAAAGAGGCUGGAAAUAGGGUUAUGGGCUAGAUCAUGAGUGACCUGUAAGCAUUAGGAGUUUUGAUUUAUUUUGGAAUAAGAAACAUUUAUGGCUUUUGAGAAGGAAAAUUACACAAGGGAAAAGAAAGGAUUUUUAUUUUUUAUUUUUAUUUUUGGAGAGAUGAGAUCUCACUAUGUUGCCCAGGCUGGUCUUGAACUCCUGAACUCAAGCAAUCCUCCCGGCUCGGCCUCUGAAACUUCUAGGAUUAUAGGCGUGAGCCACUACGCCCAGCCAGGAUUAUGUUUUUUUAUGGGAGGGAUGAGAAUAUUGGUAGGUGGGUAGAGGAUAAAUGAGAGAGAAUAUGUAUAUGUGAGAUUGAAUAUAUAAUAGAAAAAAUUGAUAGGACAAGUCCUGCGUUAUUACUACAUUUUAUGAGGAAAAUCUAUAUAUUAGAAGCACUUUAAAGGUAUAUUUGCUAUUCUAGCUGUGGAAACCAUCUGAAAACACAUUUGAAAGUGCUUUGAAACAGGGGUCAACUUCUCUGCAAAGGGCCAGAGUAUGUUUAGCUUUGCGGGCCACAGAUGGCCUCUGUUGCAUAUGCUGCUGGGUCUCCACCUUCCUCCUCCUUUUCUUCCCUUCCUCUUCCUUCUUUUUCUUCUUCUCUUUCUUCUUUCUCUUUAAAAGCAUAAAAUCAUUCUCAGCUCUUGGGCCAUACAGAAACAGGCCAUAGGCCAGAUUUGACUUCUAGGCCAUAGUUUGCCGACCCUCCAUUUUAGAACUUAGCUUUCCUGAAAGAGCAUUUGGGUCUCUCUCUCUCUUUCCCUUUCUCUCUCUCUGUCUCUCUCUCUCUCUCUUUCAGUAAGUGAAGUAAGAAAUAGGUCUUUCUUGAGGAACAAAAAGCUGAAAUAAUUUCAUGCAUUUGAAUAUGACCCUUGACCUGUUUUUGUCCAUCAUCACUCAGAUUUGUGGCUGCAACCACCAACCAAUUUGGUGCCAUAGGAUAUAGCAUAAUUUUUCAGCAACAGUUCAUAAGCUUUUCUUUUUGUUCUUUUUCCUUCUUCCAGUUGUGGUGGUUUAAAAACAUGUCUGCAAAAUCUUUGACACUUCUCAGUAAAAAAUAUAGUCUUGUGUUCCCUUUUCUUGAACCUAAGUGGCCUUUGUGCUGCCUCAACAAAUAGAAUAUGACAGAAAAGACACUAUGUGACUUUUGAGACAGGGUCAUAAGAGGUGAUACAGCUUCCCCAUGCCCCUGCAUUUUAGAGCUCUGGGUUGCCAUGUAAGAAUAGCUACCCUGAAGCUACCAUGCUGAAGAGACCACAGGGAAAUCACAUAGAGUUAGAAAGAGGUGUCUGAAGAAGCCCAGCUGCUCCCAAUCCCAGCUAUUUAAGUCCUCCCAGACCAGGUGCCAUAUAUAUGAGUGAGCAAGCCUUCAGAUGGUUCCAGCACCAGCCACCAUCUAGCUGUAAGCUCAUGAGACCCCUUCAACGAAAACCAUCUAGAUUAGCUUAGUCAAGCCCCAGAACCGUGAAAGACAAUAGACUUGCUAUGGAGGUCGCCACAUGCCUCUUUUUUCUCCCUUUGUGAAUGGGAUUAUUUAUAAUGGUUACCCCAUACCUACUCCACUAUGUAUAUUGGGUAUGAGGGAGAGAUAAUUUGUCUCACUAGCUGACAGAUUUUUCAGACCUCAAGGAAUGCCACGUGAGCUGUACUCACAGGACCACACACAAGUAUCUUUAUCCACACGUGACCUGAUUUCACUGAUAAAGUCCUGGACCUUGAGCCUGAGCCCAAUGUCUUAAUAAAUGAGAAUUUCAGAAGGUCUUGGGAGGGGGUGAGUAUAUUUUGCAUGUGGGAAGGAUGUAAAUAAUAUGUGGCCUGAGAGCAGAUUAUGGUGGUUUGAAAAUGUGUCCACCAAUUCUUUAAUACUACUCUCAACAAGAGGUGGAAUCUGUGUCUCUUCCUUUGGAACAUGAGUGGACCUUUGUGAUUAAAUGCAGCAGAAGGAUGCUGUGUGAACUCUGAGACAGGGUAAUAAGGGGUGAUACAGCUGCCACCUAGUUCUUUCUCAGAACAUGUGCCUUUGGAGCCCUGAGCUGCCAUGGAAGAAAACCACCUACCCUGAAGCCACAACACUGGAAAGACCAUGUGGAAGAACCACAGAGAGAGAGAAGAGGACCAAAUGUGUGAGCCUUCCCAGCCCAGGCUCCAAAUAUGCAAGUAGUAAGCCUUCAUUUCUUUUUGGUUUUAAUUUUUUUUUUUAAAUAAAUCGAAAUGGGUUCUCACUAUGUUGCCCAGGCUGGUCUUGAACUCCUAAGCUCAAGUAAUCCUCCUACCUCAGUCUCCCAAAGUGCUGGAAUUGUAGGCAUGAGCCACCAUGCCCGGCUGCAAUUAGUAAGUCUUCAGAUGCUUCCAUCACCAGCCACCAUCCGAUGACAACCCCAUGAAUGACCCUCAGCAAGAACUACCUAGCUGAAUCCAGCCAAACUCCAGACCCAUGAGAGAGAAAUAAAAUUGUUGUUUGAGUCACUAAAUACGGAGUAAUUUAUAUUAUCAACAGAUAACUGGAACCACAAGUGUAAUUGUUAAAGGUAAAACUUUGAAUACAUUUAUAUUUGCCUUCUGCCACAUUCCAUAAUUGACUUUUGUUCAUGAACCUAUUGGCAAGUUUGCCUUAUUGCUUUUCCUUCUUCCCUCUUUUUUUUUUUUGUAACUUAAAAAAUCAUAUAAUAAAACAACACAAAAAUGUAUUUGAAUGUAGGUUGAGUGACCGUAAAUAAGCACAAAACUUCUCCUUCCUGUGACUCUCUUGUCUGUAUAUGCCAAGUAUCUAACACAAGGCCUGCCUGGCACAUAAUUUUUUUUUUUAAAUGUUAGUCUCUUUUAUCAUUCUUUUUCCCUGUCAGUGGUAUUAUCUUUACCCAUGGAAUCCAGCACCCUCAUGCUGACUUAUAGUUCCCCAAAGUCCCUAACCUCUACAGUCCUCUCCAACCCCCACCCCAGGCCUCUCUCUAUGUUCCAGACAUUUUCUGGCUUUUUACCAUUAUCCAAACUCUGAACUUAUCUACUUAGUUUUUAUAAAAAAACACAGAGUGACUACAUAGCUAAUAUAAAUAAUGCCAGUGUUAACACAAAAAUUUGACUUGAAUGAUUACAAUAGCAAACUUCAAUGUUUACCCCAUGGAAUAGGCAGAAAAUUUCAAGCACUUUUCUAGGCCACCUGAGUCUAUUUUGAGUAAGGAUCCUUAAGUUGAUACUCAAGUAAUGACAUUGAUGCAAUGUAGAAGACUAUGCUAAAAUUUGUCCUGGCUUCUCUCCAUGCUAUGGGCCAUCUGUAAAGCUUUGGAGUCUAGGUCAGAUGUAUGCGUUGUCUCCUCUUUGCUACCAUUUUUGUACAGAUUUCUAAUCUAAAUAAAAUUAAUGGCAAUAACAGUGUGGAAAGGGAAAGCCUAAAAGAAAGAGGGUUUUUGAAGAGUGGGGGACCAGAAAAGAAGAGGACAAUUUUACCUGAAUUGUUUUACUUUAGAAAAUAAAUUUGUUCAUGUGAUUCUGUGAGUCAAUUUACACAUGUAUAUAAAUACACAUUUCUUUAUUUAACCAUUAUUAUUAUCACUAUGUGAUCCCUCAAUGUGCUGGCUACCACGGGUGUAAGAUAAAUUACAGAAACUCCUUAUUCUGAAGGAUUCCAACAACAAUUUGGCAUUGUGCACUGUAUGGGGCCUGGGAAAAUCCUCUGAUUUGCCAUACCUUAGGAAAGGUCUUUGCAUGAUACUAGGCCAUGUCUCUUACUACAAUGAUGAGCAUUCUUAGAUUUAAAAAUAAUACCAAGCUGUCAGGAAAACUGAAUUCCAUCAAUAAUAACAUCUUUUCAUAAACUGAAAGCUUGCAAAGCCUUAAUUAAAAAAAUGAAUUUAUUACUAAGUGAAUUUAAUUCACAAAAGGAAUUUUCCCCAAUAUUUAGGCUGUUGUUGGUUUUGGCUUUGUUUUUAAUUAACAUUUUUAGUUGUAUGGUUUGAUCAAAUACUGAAUUUGAGUUCAAAGAUACAUUUCCUCUGAGGAUGCAGUCUAAAGAGGCCAAGUAAAUAAUAGAAAAUCAUAGUUUCCAAGUUUCGCAGAACAAAGCUCAGUAGUUCCAUGACUUUUUCAGUGUUCUACAGAAUUGAGCUACUCCCUCUUACACAAAAAAGUGCUCUAAUUUUCAUUUUUUUCUUCUUUGCUCAGUUUCUUCAUUUAUUUGCCUACUUUCUUAAUUUCUUCCUAAGUAAAUAUAUAGCUAUCUUUGAGGAGAAGUGAUGUAACAUCAGAAACAAAGAGUAGACUCACAAUUAGAGCCCACUGACUCAUGGGACUUUAGAUAAACCACUAAUCAGGAAACUGGGGGUGUUAAUGCUGUUUAGUUAGUUGAUUGAGGAGGUGAGGACAAAACCUGGUGACUUCAGGGCCUCAGCAACAGAACUCCUACCUAUUUCCAUUGCUACCACUUACCUUAUGGGCAUUAGAUAAUUCUGCAGUGAGUUAUUCUGUGCAUGAGGGGGCAAAGGCUUUAGAGUCAGGUAGCUGGGGAGUUAUUUUCUCUCUCUGCUAUUUAAUAGCUGUAUGACCUCAGGUGAAUUUCUUAAUCUCCGUUUCCUUGUUUGUAAUACCCAUCAUGAGAAGUUGUUCUGAGGAUCACAGAUACUAUACCUAAAGUACCCAACAAAGUCCUGACACAAGGAAGGUGUUCCAUAAACGGUAGCUAUUUGAAGUAGUCUAAAAGGUCCCUUUCAAAUGUUUAAUACACCCAUAUAAUCCCAAUCUUAAUCUCUCACUCUCUUGUUGGCCCAUCAUUAGAGCACCAGAUCCCCUUGACUGCUUUCCAGGGUAAGGAUGCAAGACCACUGAGAACUGUGCCGCGCUGGUAAGAAGAGGUGCUGAUGGCAUGCUGUUGCCUCUGCCAGACAGACUCUGUCUUUGCUGAAGUGUUUAGUAUUGCUAUUGUGGCAAAUGCCAUUUUAGUCAAAGGCAAUAAAUCUUCCUUUGUUUAAAUGACAGAUGGCUAGGAUUGUUACUUCUGUUUCUAGCAAACCCAGAAAGGGAAAAAAUAAAUUACUGACAUUCAGAGUUCUUGUUUUUUAAGAAUAUUAGGGGGAAAAUGAAAAUAGUAUAGUUUCAGCAAAGUUAUAUAGUUUUUGCAGUCAACAGAAUAAUGGGCCCCCUAAUGAUGUUCACGUCCUAACCCCUAGAAUCUAUGAAUAUGUUAGGUUACAGGGCAAAGGGGAAUUAAGAGUGCAGGUGGAAUUAAGAUUAAUUAGCUGACCUUAAGAUAGGGAAUGUAGCAUAAUUUAUCCAGGUGAGCCCAAUAUAAUCACAAUGGAAGACAGAGACAGAAGAAUCAGAGUCAGAGAAGACGUGGCUACAGAGGAGAGAGUGAUGAGAUGUGAGGAUUCUGCCUGCCAUUGCUGGCUUUCAAGAUGAAGGAAGGGGGCCAUGAACCAAGGGGAUGCCUCUAGAAGCUGGAAAAGGUAAGGAAACAGAUUCUCACCUAGACUUCCAGAAAGCUCUGCUGUUGCCUUGAUUUUAGCCUAGUGAGACCCAUUUCAGACUUCCGACCUCCAGUACGUGAAGAUAAUACAUUUGUGUUGUUUUAACCUAUUAAGUUCUAAAAUGGUGAACCCAAUUUCAUUUCUUCUCUCCCUUUACAAGGUAGGUGCUAUUAACAGUGAAAUGACAAUGCAAAAGCAAAGCAGAGGAAAGCACCAGCAAAGGACAUGCCUCGCUGACUGCAGAUUACAGUGUCCUCUACUCAAUUCCUAUCUUAAUAUGUAUCACAUGCCCUGCCUGAGAUAAUGAGGACUCUCCCAUUCCCUCAGUCUUCAGGUUGCCUCUACUUCUCUUCCAUUUUCUUUUUCCUUGAUAUGAUCCUCUUCUUUCUCAUUCUUCUCUUCUUUCAUUUCCUGAGUUGUUUUCUCUCCACUUCUUCCCCCUCUACUCUGAUAGGAAAUAUUAUAGCAGUAGCCCAAGCUAGAAGAAAAAGGACACACCUACCAGCUCCCUCCCUCCCUCACAACACCUACACGGCUGCUGGGGAAGCCUUGAAUGAAAGCUAGAAAAGAACAAAUAGGAAAAGAGGCAUUUGAAAACAGAACAGAAAUAGUCACAGACGGGUGACAGGCAGGAGAUGCCACCUCAUUGACAGCUGCCACCAUUUUCCAUAGAGAAGUUAUUCCAUUGUAGUAUACACCAGGGCUGGGUUUAAAUAUUUUUCCUAUGUACUUGGUAGUAUAGUGGAAGCUCCUCCAUUUCUCUAAAUAGUUAACUGCAUACUUAGAGCUCUUGGUAGCGUUUAGAACACGGAGUUAAUUAUUCUGAGUGUACCUAGCCCCAUCACUGUCUGUAAUCUGUACAAAAUUUGAUAAGCCCUUUUAAGGUAGUUAGAUAUUUAUUGAGACUCUGCUGUAUAUUUGGCAGUGCCCCAGAUAUAGGUAGUGGUGGUGACAGCAAGCAAUAGGACCAGUGGAGCCUGCUUUUUAAUAGAGAGUGAUCUCUCUGGUAUUGUUGUAAGUACAGCAUAUAAGCAACUUGAGGUGUUGUCUUAAAGAUGUGAGCUCACCUAAUUUACACAAGAGCAUCAAAGCCAGAAUUCCUCCCCUUGCUGAUGUUAGCCUGUAACUCUGUGCCUCUCAAGUGUAUAACUUCUUCUGUGGGAAUCAUGCUUCUGAAGCAUGAGGAAAGAACACACCCGUGUUUCCACUUUCUCUGCUGCUUUGCAUGUGAUCCCUCCAGGUAUGCAAAAUAAUGCCUCAAUAUCAUUUUGACCUGUGUUGUCAUUUUACAUAUUUUAUCAGAAGACUUCAUAUCGGAUGGAAGCAAAUCUUUAGAAGGGUUGUUAUAACAACUUGAACAGCCCAUCAUGCUCUAGGCAUGCUCCCUAUCACGGCUAUGUUUUCAUUCAUUAGAGAUGGAGGAGGAGGCGGCUUAAAAUGUGUAAUUCUAAUCACCUAUUCCUACAGCUCUCUAACUGGUCUCCGUGGCUUCUCUUGCCUUCCUCCAGUCUUGCCCGUGAACCUUGAUUAGAGGACAACACAACACUAACAGCCACUCCUCCCUCUCCCUCCUGACUCCUUAUUUGAGUUAGAGGCUCUCGUAACACCUGCGUCUUCCCCUUUGUCAGCAGUCAUCACAACGAAUUGUGAUUGCCUAUUUACUCAUCUGCAUCUCCCACUGAAUUCUGAUCCAUGGUGGCUGGCCCAUGCCUGUCUUGUGUACAUUUGCAUGUAAACCACUUAACCCAAGUGCCAGGAAGCAAACAGUACACGCAGGUGUGUGGAGUGAUUGAAAGCUAAUUUGCUACCUAAGAAUGUACAGUGAUUCCUCAGUGUUUAUUAGAUCAGGCCCAGACUCUUCAUUUCAGUUUUCAACUCCUCUGAUUUUUCUUUUAUACAAGCUUUCAGAUCUCCUCUUGGUUCUCAUCUAGCUCUUGCAUCUUUAUGCCGUGGGUUGAUUCCUCUGCCUGCCUAUCUGUAGUAGCUUGUCUCCUAGGAUGGCUGCCAUCAAUUUCUUCUCUUCUGUAUACACAUGCCACUCCCGCAUUGAGAGAUGGAGUCUUCUUUCCCCCUGGAAUCUGGUCUGGCCUGUGACUAAUUUCAAUAAUAGAAUCUUGCAUUUCUAUUGAAACUACCAAAAAAAAAAAAUUGUGUCAGCUACUACAGCUACUAAGUUUUGGGAUGGUUUGUUAUAUGGCAAUAGAUAUCCUCAAUACCAUUCUUCAAAGUCCCAAACCUACAUUUUCUGUGAAGCCUUACCUUGCUAGUCUAGUUAACACUGAUCUCCUCCUUCUCUGAAGUUCUGUGGGAAUAGAACUUUGUUGAUGCCACACAUUUUGUUAUCCAACUGUAUGUAUUAUUACUUUUCCUUUCCUGAAUGCCAGUAUGAACUCCAUGACCAAAUUAUAUGGUCUUUGAAGAUACCAAAUAGUGGAAAUAGGUCUUUUGUAAUCCCUUCAACAAGUCCUAGUACUGAAUAAAAAUGUAAUGGCUGUUGAAUUGGAUUAAAAGUAAAAAUAUUC